GGCUAGUCUGAUGGUAGUGCAUUGUUAGAACUUAUUAACAUUAGUGUCACUAAAGUUGGUAUACCAACCUCCCACUGCUAAAUUUGACUGGCAAUAA
ensembl:misc_RNA Y_RNA Y RNA